rnacentral:rRNA from 1 species
UACGUAGGGUGCAAGCGUUGUCCGGAAUUAUUGGGCGUAAAGAGCUCGUAGGCGGUUUGUUGCGUCGGCUGUGAAAUCCCGAGGCUCAACCUCGGGUCUGCAGUCGAUACGAGCAAACUAGAGUGUUGCAGGGGAGACUGGAAUUCCUGGUGUAGCGGUGAAAUGUGUAGAGAUCGGGAGGAACACCGGUGGCGAAGGCGGGUCUCUGGGCAUCUCCUGACGCUGAGGCGCGAAAGCGUGGGGAGCAAACAGG